UACGGAGGAUGCGAGCGUUAUCCGGAUUUAUUGGGUUUAAAGGGUGCGUAGGCGGGAUGCCAAGUCAGCGGUAAAAAUGCGGUGCUCAACGCCGUCGAGCCGUUGAAACUGGCGUUCUUGAGUGGGCGAGAAGUAUGCAGAAUGCGUGGUGUAGCGGUGAAAUGCAUAGAUAUCACGCAGAACUCCGAUUGCGAAGGCAGCAUACCGGCGCCCUACUGACGCUGAGGCACGAAAGCGUGGGUAUCGAACAGG
rnacentral:rRNA from 1 species